UACAGAGGGGGCAAGCGUUGUUCGGAAUUACUGGGCGUAAAGGGUGCGUAGGCGGCCGAUUAAGUCUGGGGUGAAAGCCCGUUGCUCAACAACGGAACUGCCCUGGAAACUGGUCGGCUUGAGUACAGACGAGGGUGGCGGAAUGGAUGGUGUAGCGGUGAAAUGCGUAGAGAUGUGGAGGAACACCGAUGGCGAAGGCAGCCUUCUGGGCCAACACUGACGCUCAUGCACGAAAGCGUGGGGAGCAAACAGG
rnacentral:rRNA from 1 species